UACGGAGGGGGCGAGCGUUAUUCGGAAUUAUUGGGCGUAAAGGGCGCGUAGGCGGCUUGAUGUGUCAAAGGUGAAAUCCCUCGGCUCAACUGAGGAACUGCCUUUGAAACUGUCUGGCUUGAGUUCGGGAGAGGGAUGCGGAAUUCCAGGUGUAGCGGUGAAAUGCGUAGAUAUCUGGAGGAACACCGGUGGCGAAGGCGGCAUCCUGGACCGACACUGACGCUGAGGAGCGAAAGCCAGGGGAGCAAACGGG
rnacentral:rRNA from 1 species